rnacentral:rRNA from 1 species
GAUGAACGCUGGCGGCGUGCCUAAUACAUGCAAGUCGAGCGAACAGAUGAGGAGCUUGCUCCUCUGACGUUAGCGGCGGACGGGUGAGUAACACGUGGAUAACCUACCUAUAAGACUGGGAUAACUUCGGGAAACCGGAGCUAAUACCGGAUAAUAUAUUGAACCGCAUGGUUCAAUAGUGAAAGACGGUUUUGCUGUCACUUAUAGAUGGAUCCGCGCCGCAUUAGCUAGUUGGUAAGGUAACGGCUUACCAAGGCAACGAUGCGUAGCCGACCUGAGAGGGUGAUCGGCCACACUGGAACUGAGACACGGUCCAGACUCCUACGGGAGGCAGCAGUAGGGAAUCUUCCACAAUGGGCGAAAGCCUGACGGAGCAACGCCGCGUGAGUGAUGAAGGUCUUCGGAUCGUAAAACUCUGUUAUUAGGGAAGAACAAAUGUGUAAGUAACUAUGCACGUCUUGACGGUACCUAAUCAGAAAGCCACGGCUAACUACGUG